CGAAAUUGCACAAACUACUAAAAAUUGCACCUAAGCAAUUUUACAACAGAAAGCCUUUGACGUAGAUAAGGAUUAGAAGGUACCGCCUGUGAGGUGUUGCCAUGGUUGCAACGUGUGUGUGUUUGUGUGUUUGACCACACAUAUCAUUUACAUAUUUCAAGGAAUAUCUGAUAAGAAUAUUUUACUAACUACUGCAUAUACCACAUUGACACUGAACAAUUCUGGAGUUGAAAAACCCACAAAGCGAACCGAAACGAAUAGAAAGACAUAAAGAAAUAAGAGCAAGUGACAGCUUUCGCCAGUGUACACCUGUACUCUCUCCUAUGUUGCGUGCAGUCUCUUCAAUGUAGGUCAGAGUGGAGAAUCGUAUUUACCUUGGCGCGUACGGUGUCGUACAGUUUUGGAUUUGAGAGUCAGACAAAGUAGAUAAAAAACAGAAAAAGAAGAAAAAAUAAGAACGAUCGCACUGUGAAAUAUUCUAACAAGUAAGCGCU
rnacentral:lncRNA from 1 species